GCCCCUUUCAGUAGCGCACACGGUAAAACUGAAAUAACACAGAGAAGCUUAGCUUGUCUCCUGCUUAAGGAUGACAUGGAAAUUUGACAAAUGUUCCCUAUUUAA